rnacentral:rRNA from 1 species
CCCUUAGAUGUCCUGGGCCGCACGCGCGCUACACUGAUGCAUUCAACGAGUUUCACCUUGGCCGAUAGGCCUGGGCAAUCUUUUAAACCUGCAUCGUGAUAGGGAUAGAUUAUUGCAAUUAUUAAUCUUGGACGAGGAAUUCCUAGUAAACGCAAAUCAUCAAUUUGCAUUGAUUACGUCCCUGCCCUUUGUACACACCGCCCGUCGCACCUACCGAUUGAAUGGUCCGGUGAAGCCUCGGGAUUGUGGCCAGUUCACUUUAUUGGGAGUUGGCUGUGAGAACUUGUCUAAACCUUAUCAUUUAGAGGAAGGUGAAGUCGUAACA